rnacentral:rRNA from 1 species
AACGAACGCUGGCGGCAGGCUUAACACAUGCAAGUCGAACGCCCCGCAAGGGGAGUGGCAGACGGGUGAGUAACGCGUGGGAACAUACCCUUUUCUACGGAAUAGCUCUGGGAAACUGGAAUUAAUACCGUAUACGCCCUACGGGGGAAAGAUUUAUCGGGGAAGGAUUGGCCCGCGUUGGAUUAGCUAGUUGGUGGGGCAAAGCCCUACCAAGGCGACGAUCCAUAGCUGGUCUGAGAGGAUGAUCAGCCACAUUGGGACUGAGACACGGCCCAAACUCCUACGGGAGGCAGCAGUGGGGAAUAUUGGACAAUGGGCGCAAGCCUGAUCCAGCCAUGCCGCGUGAGUGAUGAAGGCCUUAGGGUUGUAAAGCUCUUUCACCGAUGAAGAUAAUGACGGUAGUCGGAGAAGAAGCCCCGGCUAACUUCGUGCCAGCCGCCGCAGUAAGAC